UUGAAGAGAGCCCUCGGAUACAAUGUCAGUAAUAUUAAGGGUGCAACUUUAGACCCUGGGUCUGGGGCCCAUUGCACUCCAUUAAAAGGAAAUCCAAGAGAAAUGAACAAAGGCAAAAACAAUUUUGCUGUUCUGAAUGUCGU